rnacentral:rRNA from 1 species
GGGUCUUGCCCCAAAAAGAUAAAUAAUUCAACAUCGAGGUCAUAAUCUUUUUCUUCUAUAAGAACUUUAAGAAAAAAUUGUGCUGUUAUCCCUACGGUAACUUAAUUGAUUCCCAGAUUGGGGAUAGAGAAAGACGGAAGAAAAAGAUUUAGUUUUUUACCGCCCCAGUCCAACAGAAGUAAAGUUCGAUAGGGUCUUGUCGUCCUUCUUUGUCAUACAAGUCUUUUUACUUGAAGGAAAAGUUAAAAUAGUUUAGGUAAUAAAGAAAUUUAUAUGUCAAACCUUUCAUGCUAGCCUUCAAUUGAAAGGCAAAUGAUUACGCUACCUUAGCACAAAAAUUGCGGCUAUUGAAUAAAUCAUUGAGCAGGCCCUACUGAAUAUAAGGUCAUUCAGAAAUGUUUUUGAUAAACAGACAAUAAAUAUGAAGGCCGAGUUCAUGAACCUGAAUGUGGAUUUUAUUGAUAAAGGUGUAUUAACAAAAGAAAGUUAGGUAUAUUUUACUAAUAAAGUCAUUGUGAAGAUUAUCAGAAAGGUUACUUUUAAUGGGAUUCUUAGAAAAAAAUGGGAAAGUUUUUAAACUUGGAGGAUACUGUUAAUCCUAGCGUUUGGAAAGAAAUAAAAUGACUAAUUUUUAAAAAAGUUUGUCCCUUUUUAAAUUUUGGUAUUAUUACCUUCAAAGAGAACCAGAUAUUAUAGAAUGCGGGUGGAAUUUCAUCUCUAUAUCUUCUUUAGAAAACUUUAUGCAACAAGCUUGAUAAGGAGGAAUAGAUCAUUUCAAUUUCGGGAGCAUUUAUUAAAAAUAGGAGAUUGAUUUUCCCUGAUACUAAAGGUACAUUACCUUUCUAUUUAACAAUUGAGAAAUUUUCCCUCACGGUUAAAUAGGGUUAAGAAAAAAAACGUAAAGUAUAAAAUAUUUAUUUAAAUAAGAAUUUAAAAACAAGAU